UCCCCAGAAAUCCUUCCCCAGCGCGGCCUCUGUGGUGGGAUCAUGCUGUGUUCUUCUUCCCCUCCACAUGGCCUUGGCCUGAGAGAAGGAGCAGAGUGGGCUGGGGCCGCUGCAGAGGAAGCAGCUGUAAUCAGUGGAGAAAUAGAACAGCCGAGAACUAUCUGUGGGGUUCACAGGCACAGAAGCUCAGCAACAUGCCAAAUACUGUGGAACUAAAAAUAAAUGAACAACAACAACAAACUGCUGACCGUUAGCUAUGAGAUCCUGGAUAAUAAGAGUUAUAAAAGUAUUAUGCUUCAGCAAGCUUAUCAUCUGAGAAGGUCAUGAAGAAUUACACUGCUACACCCAGUGAACUUUAGGUUAUGGAGAAAUGUUAUUACCUUCCUGGGCGAAAAGGGGUAGCUGUGUUUGAGACUCAUCUGCUGUUAUGGUCAAAGACUUACAGCUCAUGAUUCAGUUUAAGAAGACACCCAAGAGCAUACUGGGUCCCUCCUACAAGGCCCUGUUCUCCAUUUCCUUCAUUCCCUGCCAUGAUGAAAAUCAUUGCUGUGUUGCAGCCAUGCAACUUUAGUGUAUCUAAUUAUUACUUUCAAUUUGUGAAGAACUACGGUUACGCAAGGAGCUGAUCCGAUAAAUGAUAAAGACAUCAUCUCAUUCAUAAAUGUUAGAAGUUUCUUAUAUCAGGACCCAGGAUAACUUUGAAAGGCUUCAGCAGAACAUCAGGCAAAGAAAACCCUAAGUGGGACACUGAGCAGCGUGUGCCACUUACUACGGCAACUGAGCUGGAGAGCGAAGGUGACUGCCUUAGAUCAGAGGACAUGUUUCUGAACAUGGAAGCUGAGGUAGACGCUGGAGUGAUUUAAGACAAUAUAACUUUGGAAACUGUGAGUUAGUAUCAGCAAUGAAGCUGACAGUUGCCAUAAGUGUCAGAUAGAGGGACUGUUAUUCACUGAUAUGUGUAUAAGCUAAGAUUGUCUUUUUAACUUUGGCACAAGAGAAGCAUAAACUGAUGCAUGAUAUGCAAACUGUUUCCUAUAUUUUAAUUCCAUGCUUUGCCUGAUGCAUGAUAUGCAAACUAUUUCUUAUAUUUUUAAUUCCAUGCUUUGCCUGCUUUAAAUGCAUUUUCCUUCAUGCAGAUAACCUAAAAGGAGAGGAAAUCAUACUCCCUAAAGACAGGUAUCUGAAGUUGAGAAAUUCAGAAAGCCAAAAGCCCUGCUUAUGGUGCCUAAGUAAAAGUGUUCUGUACUAAUACAGUGUGUUACUAUUAUACUGGAUAAAAUCAGCACAACCAGAAAAUCCUGAAGACCAUGAAAGAAACGUGGUAAGGAAGAGAAACUUGGUAAACUCAUAAUAUGCAGAAAAAAAGAUAAACAAGAAUGAAAGAUAAAAGAAACCCUCUUAAAAUACAUAUUCCCAGAAAGCUUACCAUUUUAUACUGUUUUUAUUUUAAAUAAUUAUUUCUGUUUUGUGUAUUAAAUUGCUCCAGAGACCUAUGUGGAAAACAGUCCUGUCUGCAAGUAACAAUCAAAUUCAACUUUAACAUUUUGUCCUUCAAGAAAGACCUUUAAACAAAAUAUUUAUUUUCUCACCCAGCUAUUCCCUUUGUAUAACUAGAAGUGUGUCCCUUCUUCUUUUCACUCUCCCUAGAGAGGAAUGUUUCUUUGUUUCUUAUAUUUUUAUAAACCCUGAAAAAACAUGGUAUGAAAUGUACUUGCUCAAAACUAUUUGAUUAUUGACUGAUAUUAAAAUUAGAUACUUCAAUGAAAUUGAUUAAGAAAUAUCAAAUAGAUCACCUCAGUUGGGUUCAAAACACUUAACUUUAUGCGUCAAUAAUGUCGUUUAUUUCUGAAUGUCAAUAUGUCAGUAUAGGAAAAUAGCAAUGUUAGGGCAUGAUUCACUUGACCUAUUUUAGCUAUCUUCUUUAGGAAAUGCAUAGCACCUUAAAGAGUUUAUUUCCCUCUAUCAGCAACAAAGACAGGCUUGGCUAACUAGCUCAGAUAGAGACUGCAAAUAUUUACAUUUGGUCAAAUGAGCACACUUUUUUGCUAAAGGCUUCAUUCACAGCUGACACUGGAGAGAGAGAUGAAUUAUUCCAUGAAUUAUUAUUUCCAAGGGGAAAGGAAAAGACAAAUGGGAUCACCGCCCAUGUCUGCCUCAAGCAAUUGUAGGCACAAGCAUAGUACUGCUGCAGUGAUUUAGAGGUUAAGAGUUCUGCUGCAGGUAAAAGAAAAGUUAUACUGCAGCUACGCUCGUGUCAUGGAGUGAUGUUUCAUACACUGGGUUUCCGAUACUCUGCUAUUUGUCAAAACAUCUAUUGUGGAGUGCUACAACCACAUGCGGGUUCUUUCUCAUGGAAAAGUGUGUGAAGAGCUAUGAUGACAAUAUCCAGCUGAUGUCCCCAUACAGAGUCAUGAGGUGGCUGCACAUGCAUCUGAGCUGGGAGAUGGGAACUCAGAAGAGUUACUAGAUCCAGGUACAUGGAUGUGCAUAAAGCCAGCUAAAAUAUGAGGUAUCUUGUAAAAAACAACAAAAACAAAACCAAAACAACCCCCCAAGCCCUGUUUCGACUUUAUUUAAACAUUUCCUA